GUUUGAGGCACUGGCUGCUGAGAAGCAAAUCUCCAGAAAAGCACAACCAAAAUUGAAUGAAUUCUGAUUUAUUUGCGGUGGUCAUUUUGCCUCCUGGUUGAUAUCAGAGUAGGGUUUCUGGCUUUGGACUGCUUGCUGAGAAUCAUCAUGACAUUCCUGGGGUCUGAGCAUUCUUUGUUGAUUUGGAGCAAGUUCAAAUCAGUUUUACAGUUACGACUUCAGCAAAGAAGGACCCAAGAACAACUGGCUAAUCAAGACACAAUGCUGAACUAAUCCAAGCCACAGAAUCCACAUAUUUACUGCAAAGCCCUGGUAAAUUCCUAAAUUAUGCGAUCUCAUCUUAAAUAGCAUGAAGAAUGAACUGGGCAAUUCCUGCGCACCCCUGCACAAU